GGCCGGGAGGAAGUACAGCGUACAGCAGCAGCCGGUAGCCAAGCAGGAACUGAUUUAUUUGGUGAGACAGCUUCUGAUGCGCUGGAUUGGUGUACAGGACCUAAAGAUACAGCAUCAGGACGAUUACGACAACAGUACAUCGUGGUGACGGCGCCAGGGCGCGAUUGGCGGAUUUGGUUUCUGGAAGAGCUACUUCUGCAGUGACGGCUACCACAUGUCAUCUACUGUGGAGACCUAAGGUUUCUGAAAGAGAAUCGCGAGGCUGGCCAAACCAAGUUGGGCUCUAGGAACUUGCCAUCCGCUAAACGUUCAACGUCGCUGCCUUUCCGACAUUCUGGUGACAUGGCUUGACUGCAUCUCAUCUGUUAUGCAGGGGUGAGACAGCUUCUGAUGUGCUGGACGGAUCUACAGGACAUUACAGCGUCAGGACAACUACGGCAACACCUACAUCGUGGUGACGGCGACAGGGCGCGAUUGGCAGAUUUGGCUUUUGGAAUAGCCACUUCUGAUGCGCUGGACGGGCGUACAAAACGUGCAGGUAUAGCGUCGGGACGAUUACAACACCUACGCCGUGGUGAUGGCGACAGGGCGCAAGUGGCACUCUUGGUUUUUGGAAGAGCUAAAUGGCUGGGCGUACAGGACGUGCAGAUACAGCGUCGGGACGACUACGACAACAGCCAUAUCGUGGCGACGGCGACAGGGUGCGAUUGGGAGAUCUGGUUUCCGGAAGAGCUUCUUCUCCAGCGAUGACUGGGUGUACAGGACGUUCAGAUACAGCGUCGGGACGAUUACGACACCACCAUCAUGGUGACGGCGACAGGGCACGAUUGGCAGAUUUGGUUUCUGGAAGAGCUACUUCUGAUGCGCUGGACGGGUGUACAGGAUGUG